GAUGAACGCUGGCGGCGUGCCUAAUACAUGCAAGUCGAGCGAACGGACGAGAAGCUUGCUUCUCUGAUGUUAGCGGCGCACGGGUGAGUAACACGUGGAUAACCUACCUAUAAGACUGGGAUAACUUCGGGAAACCGGAGCUAAUACCGGAUAAUAUUUUGAACCGCAUGGUUCAAAAGUGAAAGACGGUCUUGCUGUCACUUAUAGAUGGAUCCGCGCUGCAUUAGCUAGUUGGUAAGGUAACGGCUUACCAAGGCAACGAUGCAUAGCCGACCUGAGAGGGUGAUCGGCCACACUGGAGCUGAGACACGGUCCAGACUACUACGGGAGGCAGCAGUAGGGAAUCUGCCGCAAUAGGCGAAAGCCUGACGGAGCAACGCCGCGUGAGUGAUGACGGUCUUCGGAUCGUAAAACUCUGUUAUUAGUGAAGAACAUAUGUGUAAGUAACUGUGCACAUCUUGACGGUACCUAAUCAGAAAGCCACGGCUAACUACGUG
rnacentral:rRNA from 1 species